rnacentral:rRNA from 1 species
GGUGAACGCUGGCGGUAGGCCUAACACAUGCAAGUCGAACGGCAGCACAGUAAGAGCUUGCUCUUACGGGUGGCGAGUGGCGGACGGGUGAGGAAUCCAUCGGAAUCUACUUUUUCGUGGGGGAUAACGUAGGGAAACUUACGCUAAUACCGCAUACGACCUACGGGUGAAAGCAGGGGAUCUUCGGACCUUGCGCGAUUGAAUGAGCCGAUGUCGGAUUAGCUAGUCGGCGGGGUAAAGGCCCACCAAGGCGACGAUCCGUAGCUGGUGUGAGAGGAUGAUCAGCCACACUAGAACUGAGACACGGUCCAGACUCCUAAGGGAGGCAGCAGUGGGGAAUAUUGCACAAUGGGCGCAAGCCUGAUCCAGCCAUGCCGCGUGAGUGAAGAAGGCCUUCGGGUUGUAGAGCCCUUUUGUUGGGAAAGAAAAGCAGCAGGUUAAUACCCCGCUGUUAUGACGGUACCCAAAGAAUAAGCACCGGCUAACUUCGUG